GAUGAACGCUGGCGGCGUGCCUAAUACAUGCAAGUCGAGCGAACAGACGAGGAGCUUGCUUCUCUGACGUUAGCGGCGGACGGGUGAGUAACACGUGGAUAACCUACCUAUAAGACUGGGAUAACUUCGGGAAACCGUAGCUAAUACCGGAUAAUAUUUUGAACCGCAUGGUUCAAUAGUGAAAGACGGUCUUGCUGUCACUUAUAGAUGGAUCCGCGCUGCAUUAGCUAGUUGGUAAGGUAACGGCUUACCAAGGCAACGAUGCAUAGCCGACCUGAGAGGGUGAUCGGCCACACUGGAACUGAGACACGGUCCAGACUCCUACGGGAGGCAGCAGUAGGGAAUCUUCCGCAAUGGGCGAAAGCCUGACGGAGCAACGCCGCGUGAGUGAUGAAGGUCUUCGGAUCGUAAAACUCUGUUAUUAGGGAAGAACAAAUGUGUAAGUAACUGUGCACGUCUUGACGGUACCUAAUCAGAAAGCCACGGCUAACUACGUG
rnacentral:rRNA from 1 species